ACUCUCCUGCUGGUCUUGAAGAAGCUGCUGUGAAUUCUCAGCUGUAAGGAAAUGAAUUCUUCCAACAACCACACGAGCUUGGGAGAGGACCCCACCCCGACCGACACCUUUAUUGCAGCCUGCUGAGACCCUGAGCAGAGGACUGAAUUCAGCUGUGCUAGGACUCCUCACCCACAGAACCUGCGAGAUAAUAAAUGGGCGCUGUUCUAAGCUGCUAAGUUUGUGGUAUUUCUUAUGCAGCCAUAGAUUAUUAAUACGUCAUUCCGUUUUAAGGAGCUUCCAGGAGUGAUGGGCAAUCCCUUUGUGUGUGUGUGGCAUGGAGGUGGGAGGGAUGGAGCCACGUGGGAAGAAGAAAACUAUCUUGGAGGGUGUAAUAGCCUUUCUUAAGAGGGAGGGGAAGAGCUUGACCCAUACGCAGCCUGCCCGGUGCCCAGCCUCGGGGCACUGGGGGGAGAACAUCACCCCGCAGGCAGCUCUUGCUUUGCACUUGGGGACUCGACCCUCGACAGAGGACCCGCUGCCCCCUCUUACAGGAGGUGCUGGAGCGUAAAUACCUGGAGGAAAAACACACACCCUUUCAGCCAGGACUUCUGUUUUCAUGCUUCGAGGAAAGGAGGCUGUGGGAGAAACCGUAGAAAGCAGAGACUCCUUCCGGCUUUGGAGUUUCACAAGCUUAGAUGCUUAUGGGCGCCACAGAAGAGUUGGGGCACAGAGAGAGGUCUGGGGGGGACACAGCCGGCCCGUGGGAGAGUUGUCUGUGGUACUGCAGCCAAGAUGCGAAGCCGAGCAGCCGCUCCCCUCCUCACCUCUCCCCGCUGUUCAGCUGCCCAGCGGUGUUUGGAAGAACACAGUUAAUUAGUCGUCGGGCCAGGAGAGCCCCUUUCAUCAUAGUUUGUGUCAGGCCUGCCCCCCCGGAAUCUGAUGAGGUCUUUGGGUGCUGGCAGCACCAAUUUUUAUCCAUUAUUUUUUCUAUUACGGAUGAUUCUCUUCCACGUGGGAGUCAGACAGAGGUCAGCUUGAGCCCAGCUCAGGAAGACAAAUGCCGAUGGUUUUGCUGGGUCCAGGAUGGCCUCUGUUCCAUUAAUACACCAUAUUCAGGAUAUAUACUCGUUGCCUGGAAACUCCGAGGACGGGCAACAUUCAGAGGGGUUUGGAAUGACUCCUGCAGUAGAACCAAAGAACUCGAGGGCCAUUGUCACGCUGGAGGGCAGGGCUUGAGGACCCAGCAUCUGGACCGGUCCAGGGCCGAGUUCCACUCCUGCUUCUGCGCCGGGAAAGAGGGAACCACCGUCUGAAGCUCCUUCCUGUGCUCCUGUCCCUGAGCACGCGCCUGUCACACAGGGCUCACCUGCACAGUGGCUCCUGGAAAGGGCCUCGCACGUCCAGGGCACUACCCCAGGGACAAGUUCCUCCUUGGCCCCUUGGCAGACGAUAAGACGAAUGGCCUGAGUUGCAACCUGCUGCCAAAAGUU
rnacentral:lncRNA from 1 species